UACGUAGGGUGCAGGCGUUAAUCGGAAUUACUGGGCGUAAAGCGUGCGCAGGCGGCUCUUUAAGUCAGAUGUGAAAGCCCCGGGCUUAACCUGGGAAUUGCGUUUGAAACUGGAGAGCUGGAGUGUGGAAGAGGGGGGUGGAAUUCCAGGUGUAGCAGUGAAAUGCGCAGAUAUCAGGAAGAACACCCGUGGCUAAGGCGGCUCUCUAGUACGGUACUGACGCUGAGACGCGAAAGCGUGGGGAGCGAACAGG
rnacentral:rRNA from 1 species